rnacentral:rRNA from 1 species
AGUGAACGCUGGCGGUAGGCUUAACACAUGCAAGUCGAACGGCAGCACAGUGAGAGCUUGCUCUUACGGGUGGCGAGUGGCGGACGGGUGAGGAAUACAUCGGAAUCUACUUUUUCGUGGGGGAUAACGUAGGGAAACUUACGCUAAUACCGCAUACGACCUACGGGUGAAAGCAGGGGAUCUUCGGACCUUGCGCGAUUGAAUGAGCCGAUGUCGGAUUAGCUAGUUGGCGGGGUAAAGGCCCACCAAGGCGACGAUCCGUAGCUGGUCUGAGAGGAUGAUCAGCCACACUGGAACUGAGACACGGUCCAGACUCCUACGGGAGGCAGCAGUGGGGAAUAUUGGACAAUGGGCGCAAGCCUGAUCCAGCCAUACCGCGUGGGUGAAGAAGGCCUUCGGGUUGUAAAGCCCUUUUGUUGGGAAAGAAAAGCAGCAGGUUAAUACCCCGCUGUUCUGACGGUACCCAAAGAAUAAGCACCGGCUAACUUCGUG